UUUCUACACCCUCCCCCCCUUCAAAUUCAAGGCUGAUGGCUAUUUGCAGAUCAUCUACCACAGACUUUAGCAAGACAGAAAAGAGAAGUUCUCGUACAUGUGCUGCUCAGAACUUAACAUCUUGAUCUCCUACACCAUGAUUGUCCCACUGUGGAUACUGCAAAAGUGUGCAUAAGGAGGCUCGGUGUCAUUUCAUUCAUCUUCCAGGUGAAGAAAAUGAGAUGGGCGAACUGCCUUGCUUCAAAGCCUCAGAGUUCUGAGAUGUGAUUUUGACAUGCAAAAGAUAAAGCAAAUACUUCAGCUGUUCCUCAUCCCAGAGGAUGCCUAUGUAAAGAUCAUUCUUCAUCUGCACCUGCUCCUGUAUAUUUUAAAGCAUUUUCUAGUUUGCUUGAGCAAACCAUCAUGCUGUCUCUUUUCCUACAUAAACCUGUCCGUCUAAAAUCAAAAAGACCAUAAAGGUUCAAGAUAUAUUACACUAUCAAACUAAUGUCUUAUGUGUUCGCUAUCUUCAGAAUUGUAUCCUGUAUCUGCAAAAAGAUGUCAGUGAACUUAUUUAGACUGAUUCUAUAUUUAAAUAUGUAGUUGAAAGAUUAUUUAAUCACCAGUAAAUGUAAUUCUUCUGACCUCAAAGCUCUCUCAGAUUCUAGUGUUUUUUAAUUCUAUGAAGCAGAUUGUUCUAACACAAUGUAACAUUCAUCUGAGGAACAGCUAUCAACUUUUCUAGGUUAGCUGGUGUAACUCACAUUAGCAAAGUAAUAUAGAAUCUGUUACUAACAAAAUAAGUGCUUUUUUAAAAAUAAAAAACCAGAUGGCUAGGGUCAUCUGACCUUGGUCCUCUUUCCUGCCAGGGGCAGGGGGUCGGACAUGAUGAUCCAUUGUGGUCCCUUCUGACUCUACAAUCUAUGAAUCUAUGAAUCUAUAAGAUGGAGAACCCCAAAUCAUGUACAAUUCUAAGCUUUCUAUAUGUAUGUGUGAUAUAAAUAUAUAUGACAACAUU